rnacentral:rRNA from 1 species
UACGUAGGGUCCGAGCGUUGUCCGGAAUUACUGGGCGUAAAGAGCUCGUAGGUGGUUUGUCGCGUUGUCCGUGAAAACUCACAGCUCAACUGUGGGCGUGCGGGCGAUACGGGCAGACUGGAGUACUGCAGGGGAGACUGGAAUUCCUGGUGUAGCGGUGGAAUGCGCAGAUAUCAGGAGGAACACCGGUGGCGAAGGCGGGUCUCUGGGCAUUAACUGACGCUGGAGGAGCGAAAGCAUCGGGGAGCGAACAGG